UACGUAGGGGGCAAGCGUUGUCCGGAUUUAUUGGGCGUAAAGCGCGCGUAGGCGGCGCGGUAUGUCGUGCGUGAAAUCUCCCGGCUCAACUGGGAGAGGUCCUUGCAUACUGGCGGACUUGAGGGGGGUAGAGGAAAGUGGAAUUCCCGGUGUAGUGGUGAUAUGCGUAGAUAUCGGGAGGAACACCUGUGGCGAAGGCGGCUUUCUGGGCCCUACCUGACGCUGAGACGCGAAAGCUAGGGGGAGCAAACGGG
rnacentral:rRNA from 1 species